rnacentral:rRNA from 1 species
AAUCAACGCUGGCGGCGUGCCUCAGACAUGCAAGUCGAACGCGAAAGUUCCCUUCGGGGAGCGAGUAGAGUGGCGUACGGGUGAGUAACACGUAGGUAAUCUACCUUUGGGUGGGGAAUAACAGCCGGAAACGGCUGCUAAUACCGCAUAAUGCAGCGGCUCGACAUCGAGACAGUUGUUAAAGCGGGGGAUCGCAAGACCUCGCGCCUAAAGAGGAGCCUGCGGCGGAUAGCUAGUUGGUGAGGUAAUGGCUCACCAAGGCAUCGAUCCGUAGCCGGCCUGAGAGGGCGGUCGGCCACACUGACACUGGCAUACGGGUCAGACUCCUACGGGAGGCAGCAGUCGGGAAUUUUGGGCAAUGGGCGAAAGCCUGACCAGCAACGCCGCGUGAAGGAUGAAAUCCCUCGGGAUGUAAACUUCG